rnacentral:rRNA from 1 species
CACGAACCGUACGAACGUUAUUCGGAAUUACUGGGCUUAAAGGGCUUGUAGGCGGCCAUGUAAGUCAGGUGUGAAAUCCCUCGGCUCAACCGAGGAACGGCGCUUGAUACUGCAUGGCUUGAGGGAGACAGGGGUAAGCGGAACUGAUGGUGGAGCGGUGAAAUGCGUUGAUAUCAUCAGGAACACCGGUGGCGAAAGCGGCUUACUGGGUCUCUUCUGACGCUCAGGAACGAAAGCUAGGGUAGCGAACGGG